CAUCGCCACGGUAAUACAGAGGGUGCGAGCGUUAAUCGGAUUUACUGGGCGUAAAGCGUGCGUAGGCGGCUUCUUAAGUCGGAUGUGAAAUCCCUGAGCUUAACUUAGGAAUUGCAUUCGAUACUGGGAAGCUAGAGUAUGGGAGAGGAUGGUAGAAUUCCAGGUGUAGCGGUGAAAUGCGUAGAGAUCUGGAGGAAUACCGAUGGCGAAGGCAGCCAUCUGGCCUAAUACUGACGCUGAGGUACGAAAGCAUGGGGAGCAAACAGGAUUAGAGACCCCAGUAGUCCCUGUCUCUUAUACA
rnacentral:rRNA from 1 species